rnacentral:tRNA from 1 species
GCCCCUAUAGCUCAGCUGGUAGAGCAACUGAUUUGUAAUCAGUAGGUCCGCGGUUCGAAUCCGUGUGGGGGCACCA